AUUGAACGCUGGCGGCAGGCCUAACACAUGCAAGUCGGACGAGUGGCGGACGGGUGAGUAAUGUCUGGGAAACUGCCUGAUGGAGGGGGAUGACUACUGGAAAUGGUAGCUAAUACCGCAUACCAUCAGAUCUGCCCAGAUGGGAUUAGUUAGUUGGUGGGGUAACGGCUCACCAAGGCGACGAUCCCUAGCUGGUCUGAGAGGAUGACCGGCCACACUGGACCUGAGACACGGUGCAGACUCCUACGGGAGGCAGCAGUGGGGAAUAUUGCACAAUGGGCGCAAGCCUGAUGCAGCCAUGCCGCGUGUAUGAGGAAGGCCUUCGGGUUGUAAAGUACUUUCAGCGGGGAGGCGUUACCCGCAGAAGAAGCACCGGCUAACUCCGUGCCAGUCGCCGCGGUAAUUC
rnacentral:rRNA from 1 species